rnacentral:rRNA from 1 species
GAUAAACGCUGGCGGCGCACAUAAGACAUGCAAGUUGAACGGACUUAAUCGAAAUAUUUAUAUUUUGAAGCGGUUAGUGGCGGACUGGUGAGUAACGCGUAAGGAACCUGCCUAUUAGAGGGGAAUAACAGUGAGAAAUCAUUGCUAAUACCGCAUAUGCCAUAGAUAUCACAUGAUAACAGUGGGAAAGGGGCAAUCCGCUAAUAGAUGGCCUUGCGUCUGAUUAGAUAGUUGGUGGGGUAACGGCCUACCAAGUCGACGAUCAGUAGCCGGACUGAGAGGUUGAACGGCCACAUUGGGACUGAGAUACGGCCCAGACUCCUACGGGAGGCAGCAGUCGGGAAUAUUGCGCAAUGGAGGAAACUCUGACGCAGUGACGCCGCGUAUAGGAAGAAGGUUUUCGGAUUGUAAACUAUUGUCGUUAGGGAAGAGAAAGGACAGUACCUAAGGAGGAAGCUCCGGCUAACUACGUG